rnacentral:tRNA from 1 species
AUAAUCUCAUGAAACAAACAUUCUUACCUACGGUGCAGCAUCAUGAUAGUAGUCCUA